GUCGUGGCCGGACCCGGCCGCGACGGGUGGAAGUAACACGUACCCAACCUGUCCCUUUCUCGGGGACGUCCUUUGAAAAGAAAGAUUAAUACCCGAUAGCAUAAUGAUUCCGCAUGGUUUCAUUAUUAAAGGAUUCCGGUAAAGGAUGGGGAUGCGUUCCAUUAGGUUGUUGGUGAGGUAACGGCUCACCAAGCCUUCGAUGGAUAGGGGUUCUGAGAGGAAGGUCCCCCACAUUGGAACUGAGACACGGUCCAA
rnacentral:rRNA from 1 species